CCUACGGGAGGCUGCAGUGGGGAAUAUUGGACAAUGGGGGGAACCCUGAUCCAGCCAUGCCGCGUGUGUGAAGAAGGCCCUCGGGUUGUAAAGCACUUUCAGUGAGGAAGAACGCCUGGUGGUUAAUACCCAUCAGGAAAGACAUCACUCACAGAAGAAGCACCGGCUAACUCCGUGCCAGCAGCCGCGGUAAUACGGAGGGUGCGAGCGUUAAUCGGAAUUACUGGGCGUAAAGCGCGCGUAGGUGGCUUGAUAAGCCGGUUGUGAAAGCCCCGGGCUCAACCUGGGAACGGCAUCCGGAACUGUCAAGCUAGAGUGCAGGAGAGGAAGGUUGAAUUCCCGGUGUAGCGGUGAAAUGCGUAGAGAUCGGGAGGAAUACCAGUGGCGAAGGCGGCCUUCUGGACUGACACUGACACUGAGGUGCGAAAGCGUGGGUAGCAAACAGGAUUAGAUACCCGGGUAGUC
rnacentral:rRNA from 1 species